rnacentral:tRNA from 1 species
GCGGGCGUAGCUCAAUGGUAGAGCCCCAGCCUUCCAAGCUGGUCACGUGGGUUCGAUUCCCAUCGCCCGCUCCA